GCUCCAAUAGCGUAUAUUAAAGUUGUUGCGGUAAAAAAGCUCGUAGUUGGAUUUCUGUUGAGGACGACCGGUCCGCACCAUGUGCGCGCAUCUGGCUCGGCCUCGGCAUCCUCUCGAAAGACGUUUCUGCGCUUGAUUGCGUGGGGCGGAUCUCGAGACUUUUUACUUUGAGGAAAUUAGAGUGUUCACGGCAGCUAUCG
rnacentral:rRNA from 1 species